GUGCUCGCUCUGGCAGCACGUGUACUAAAUUGGAACACACGGAGAUUCGCAUGGCGCCUGCGCCAGGAUGACACACUAAGUCAUGAAGCGUUCAUAUUUUUA